GACUCUCGGCAACGGAUAUCUCGGCUCUCGCAUCGAUGAAGAACUUAGCGAAAUGCGAUACUUGGUGUGAAUUGUAGAAUCCCAUGAACCAUCGAGUUUUUGAACGUAAGUUGCGCUCGAGGCCUCUUGGUCGAGGGCAUGUUUGCCUGGGUGGCA
rfam:Populus trichocarpa scaffold_14_contig_152, whole genome shotgun sequence.